rnacentral:rRNA from 1 species
GCAUAACGCGAAGAACCUUACCAAGGCUUGACAUAUACGAGAACGGGCCAGAAAUGGUCAACUCUUUGGACACUCGUAAACAGGUGGUGCAUGGUUGUCGUCAGCUCGUGUCGUGAGAUGUUGGGUUAAGUCCCGCAACGAGCGCAACCCUCGUUCUAUGUUGCCAGCACGUAAUGGUGGGAACUCAUGGGAUACUGCCGGGGUCAACUCGGAGGAAGGUGGGGAUGACGUCAAAUCAUCAUGCCCCUUAUGUCUUGGGCUUCACGCAUGCUACAAUGGCCGGUACAAAGGGCUGCAAUACCGCGAGGUGGAGCGAAUCCCAAAAAGCCGGUCCCAGUUCGGAUUGAGGUCUGCAACUCGACCUCAUGAAGUCGGAGUCGCUAGUAAUCGCAGAUCAGCAACGCUGCGGUGAAUACGUUCCCGGGUCUUGUACACACCG